rnacentral:rRNA from 1 species
GAAUUCGCCCUUGAGUUUGAUCAUGGCUCAGGACGAACGCUGGCGGCGUGCCUAAUACAUGCAAGUCGAACGCACUCUCGUUUAGAUUGAAGGAGCUUGCUCCUGAUUGAUAAACAUUUGAGUGAGUGGCGGACGGGUGAGUAACACGUGGGUAACCUGCCCUAAAGUGGGGGAUAACAUUUGGAAACAGAUGCUAAUACCGCAUAAAACCUAACACCGCAUGGUGUAGGGUUGAAAGAUGGUUUCGGCUAUCACUUUAGGAUGGACCCGCGGUGCAUUAGUUAGUUGGUGAGGUAAAGGCUCACCAAGACCGUGAUGCAUAGCCGACCUGAGAGGGUAAUCGGCCACACUGGGACUGAGACACGGCCCAGACUCCUACGGGAGGCAGCAGUAGGGAAUCUUCCACAAUGGACGAAAGUCUGACGGAGCAACGCCGCGUGAGUGAAGAAGGUUUUCGGAUCGUAAAACUCUGUUGUGAGGGAAGAACAAGUACCAAGUAACUACUGGUACCUUGACGGUACCUCACCAGAAAGCCACGGCUAACUACGUGCCAGCAGCCGCGGUAC